UACGGAGGAUCCGAGCGUUGUCCGGAAUUACUGGGCGUAAAGCGUGCGCAGGCGGUUGUGUAAGACAGAUGUGAAAUCCCCGGGCUCAACCUGGGAACUGCAUUUGUGACUGCACUGGCUGAGUAGUACGGUAGAGGGGGAUGGAAUUCCGCGUGUAGCAGUGAAAUGCGUAGAUAUGCGGAGGAACACGAUGGCGAAGGCAAUCCCCUGGACCUGUACUGACGCUCAUGCACGAAAGCGUGGGGAGCAAACAGG
rnacentral:rRNA from 1 species